UAAAGAUUCAUCGCUGAUAGAUAGGCAUGCGUUCCAUUAGGCAGUUGGCGGGGUAACGGCCCACCAAACCGACGAUGGAUAGGGGUUCUGAGAGGAAGGUCCCCCACAUUGGUACUGAGACACGGACCAAACUCCUACGGGAGGCAGCAGUGAGGAAUAUUGGUCAAUGGGCGUAAGCCUGAACCAGCCAAGUCGCGUGAGGGAUGAAGGUUCUAUGGAUCGUAAACCUCUUUUAUAAGGGAAUAAGGUGUGGGACGUGUCCUGUUUUGUAUGUACCUUAUGAAUAAGGAUCGGCUAACUCCGUGCCAGCAGCCGCGGUAAUACGGAGGAUCCGAGCGUUAUCCGGAUUUAUUGGGUUUAAAGGGUGCGUAGGCGGCCUUUUAAGUCAGCGGUGAAAGUCUGUGGCUCAACCAUAGAAUUGCCGUUGAAACUGGGAGGCUUGAGUAUGUUUGAGGCAGGCGGAAUGCGUGGUGUAGCGGUGAAAUGCUUAGAUAUCACGCAGAACCCCGAUUGCGAAGGCAGCCUGCCAAGCCAUGACUGACGCUGAUGCACGAAAGCGUGGGGAUCAAACAGGAUUAGAUACCCUGGUAGUCCACGCAGUAAACGAUGAUCACUAGCUGUUUGCGAUACAGUGUAA
rnacentral:rRNA from 1 species